AACACAUGCAAGUCGAACGCGAAAGGGACUUCGGUCCUGAGUAAAGUGGCGCACGGGUGAGUAACGCGUGGAUAAUCUGCCCUUAUGAUUGGAAUAACAGUUGGAAACGGCUGCUAAUACCGGAUACGCUCAAAAAUGAACUUUUUGAGGAAAAGAUGGCCUCUGCUUGCAUGCUAUCGCAUAAGGAUGAGUCCGCGUCCCAUUAGCUUGUUGGCGGGGUAACGGCCCACCAAGGCAACGAUGGGUAGCCGAUUUGAGAGGAUGAUCGGCCACACUGGAACUGAAACACGGUCCAGACUCCUACGGGAGGCAGCAGUGGGGAAUAUUGCGCAAUGGGCGAAAGCCUGACGCAGCGACGCCGCGUGAGGGAUGAAGGUUUUCGGAUCGUAAACCUCUGUCAGAAGGGAAGAAACUACGUUGUGCUAAUCAGCAGCGUACUGACGGUACCUUCAAAGGAAGCACCGGCUAACUCCGUG
rnacentral:rRNA from 1 species